rnacentral:lncRNA from 1 species
CUCAAGCUCAGGCUGGUAAAGGAAGAAAAUAUAUGAUUUCUUGAUUGCUGAAAUCUCAAAAAUAUAUGAUUUCUGAAUUGCUUAUUGUUGUUUGUUAUUAUGGGAUUUUAAGUUUAAUUGUAGAACUGCAGGACAUCAACUGGACUAUGAGUCAUAAAAUUGCCUCUACCUGUUUAUCAAAAGGAACUCAUACUGUUGGGAUUGCUUCCCAUGUACAGUAGGUAUUUAAUGACUCUAUUAUGAGCAAGCGGUUUUUCAAGAGUCCUCAUCGGCGGAGAACGCCAGAGCAGAUAAUGCUAAGGUCAUUGCUAUUCAUGU